GAUAAACGCUGGCGGCGUGCCUGACACAUGCAAGUCGAACGAUUCAAGUAGCAAUAUUUGAAGAGUGGCGGAAGGGUGCGUAACACGUAGGAGAUCUACCUCAUCGCAGGGAACAACCCAUCGAAAGAUGGGCUAAUACCCAAAAAGCUUCGCGGCUCAUACCGCAAAGCAGAGUCGAAAGGCGUGAUGAGAGGAUCCUGCGGCCCAUCAGCUAGUUGGCGGGGUAAAGGCCCACCAAGGCGAAGACGGGUAGCUGAUCUGAGAGGAUGAUCAGCCACACUGGGACUGAGACACGGCCCAGACUCCUACGGGAGGCAGCAGUCGAGAGGCUUCGGCAAUGGGGGAAACCCUGAUGCAGCGACGCCGCGUGGAGGAUGACGGAUUUAGGGUCUGUAAACUCCUUUUAUCGGGAAAGACUUAGGACGGUACCCGAUGAAUAAGGACCGGCUAACUACGUG
rnacentral:rRNA from 1 species